GGAGUCGGAGACACAACAAAGAUGGCGGCGGCGACUGCGACGGUGACGAAGACGGCGGCGGCGGCGACGGCGUUUAACAAGGCGGUGUGGUUUACUCGAUGCAGUUGUCAGGAGACCUCUGUAUGGCUUUUCAAUUUUAGUUGAAAUUCUCUCUCCAUGGCCUUUUGGAGUCCCUUGCUGUAUCUCCAGAGUAAAUUUCAAUUACUCUACAUUUCAUCAAUGUUGGAGUGGCAAGAAAAAGGAGGAACAGAUUUGGGGUGAAAAGGUAUAACAAACUGUAAAUGUUAAAAAAGCAAAGAUGGGUGAAAAAAAACCAGAGCCUUUGGACUUCGUGAAAGAUUUUCAGGAAUACCUGACUCAGCAGACCCAUCAUGUGAACAUGAUUUCUGGAUCAGUUAGUGGGGACAAAGAAGCAGAGGCUCUUCAGGGAGCUGGAACAGAUGGUGAUCAAAAUGGACUUGAUCACCCAUCUGUUGAAGUUUCCUUGGAUGAAAACUCAGGAAUGUUAGUAGACGGGUUUGAAAGGACCUUUGAUGGGAAGCUCAAGUGUCGGUACUGCAACUAUGCCAGCAAAGGAACAGCCCGGCUUAUUGAACACAUCAGAAUCCACACAG
rnacentral:sRNA from 1 species